UACGAAGGGGGCUAGCGUUGUUCGGAAUCACUGGGCGUAAAGCGCACGUAGGCGGAUUGUUAAGUCGGGGGUGAAAUCCUGAGGCUCAACCUCAGAACUGCCUUCGAUACUGGCAAUCUCGAGUCCGGAAGAGGUUGGUGGAACAGCUAGUGUAGAGGUGAAAUUCGUAGAUAUUAGCUAGAACACCAGUGGCGAAGGCGGCUCACUGGUCCGGUACUGACGCUGAGGUGCGAAAGCGUGGGGAGCAAACAGG
rnacentral:rRNA from 1 species